rnacentral:rRNA from 1 species
UACGAAGGGGGCUAGCGUUGUUCGGAUUUACUGGGCGUAAAGGGCGCGUAGGCGGCCCUCCUUGUCGCGUGUGAAAGCCCCGGGCUCAACCUGGGAAUUGCGCGCGAAACGGGGGGGCUUGAGUUCGGGAGAGGAGCGUGGAAUUCCCAGUGUAGAGGUGAAAUUCGUAGAUAUUCGCAAGAACACCAGUGGCGAAGGCGGCUCACUGGCCCGAUACUGACGCUGAGGUGCGAAAGCGUGGGGAGCAAACAGG